UACGGAGGGAGCUAGCGGUGUUCGGAAUUACUGGGCGUAAAGCGCACGUAGGCGGCUUUUUAAGUCAGGGGUGAAAUCCCGGGGCUCAACCCCGGAACUGCCCUUGAAACUGGGAAGCUAGAAUCUUGGAGAGGCGGGCGGAAUACCGAGUGUAGAGGUGAAAUUCGUAGAUAUUGGGAAGAACACCAGUGGCGAAGGCGGCUACCUGGCGAACUAUUGACGCUGAGGCGCGAAAGCGUGGGGAGCAAACAGG
rnacentral:rRNA from 1 species